rnacentral:rRNA from 1 species
AUUAGAUACCCUGGUAGUCCACGCCGUAAACGAUGUCUACUAGCCGUUGGGAAACUUGAUUUCUUAGUGGCGCAGCUAACGCACUAAGUAGACUGCCUGGGGAGUACGGCCGCAAGGUUAAAACUCAAAUGAAUUGACGGGGGCCCGCACAAGCGGUGGAGCAUGUGGUUUAAUUCGAUGCAACGCGAAGAACCUUACCUGGUCUUGACAUCCUGCGAACUUUCUAGAGAUAGAUUGGUGCCUUCGGGAACGCAGUGACAGGUGCUGCAUGGCUGUCGUCAGCUCGUGUUGUGAAAUGUUGGGUUAAGUCCCGUAACGAGCGCAACCCUUAUCCUUAUUUGCCAGCACUUCGGGUGGGAACUCUAAGGAGACUGCCGGUGACAAACCGGAGGAAGGUGGGGACGACGUCAAGUCAUCAUGGCCCUUACGACCAGGGCUACACACGUGCUACAAUGGUAAGUACAAAGGGACGCUAAGCCGCGAGGUGGAGCUAAUCCCAGAAAGCUUAUCGUAGUCCGGAUUGGAGUCUGCAACUCGACUCCAUGAAGUCGGAAUCGCUAGUAAUCGUGGAUCAGAAUGCCACGGUGAAUACGUUCCCGGGCCUUGUACACACCGCCCGUCACACCAUGGGAGUGGAUUGCACCAGAAGUAGUUAGUCUAACCUUCGGGGGGACGAUUACCACGGUGUGGUUCAUGACUGGGGUGAAGUCGUAACAAGGUAGCCGU